CGUAUCCAGAGUUGACAGACAAACACAUGCUUGCAGAUUUAUGUAAAAAGCUCAACUUCCCGCACAAAAUGGCUCAGUAUGCCCAACGUGCAUCAGUGGCUUUUCAUACCCAGUUGUUUUUCAAAAGCAAAGGAAUAGUAAGUGAAGAAGCCUAUAUUCUAUUUGUAAGAAAGAAUGCUAUUGUGGUGUUAAUUCCAAAGUAUGGUUUAGAAGGUACUGUCUUUUUUGAAGAAAAGGACAAACCAAAGCCAAGGCUUAUUUAUGAUGAUGAGAUACCUUCCCUUAAAAUAGAGGAUACAGUGUUUCAUAUAUUUGAUAAAGUUAAAGUGAAAAUCAUGCUAGACUCAUCCAAUCUUCAGCAUCAGAAAAUCCGAAUGUCCCUGGCAGAACCACAGAUACCAGGAAUAAGCAUUUCGGCUGAUACUCCAAACAUGGACAUUGAUGAACCAGAGAGAAAGAAGAAGAAACGUGAGAAAUAGCUAUAGUCACCAAAAACCUUCGAAGAC